rnacentral:misc_RNA from 1 species
AACUUUUGACAACGGAUCUCUUGGUUCCCGCAUCGAUGAAGAACGCAGCGAAAUGCGAUAAGUAAUGUGAAUUGCAGAAUUCAGUGAAUCAUCGAAUUUUUGAACGCACCUUGCGCUCCCUGGUAUUCCGGGGAGCACGCCUGUUCGAGUGUCGUGAAAUUCUCAAACUGAAAUGCUUUUUUGUUUCUCGGCUUGGUGUUGGGCUUUGCAGUCCCCUUUGAUUGGGAUGGCUGGCCUCAAAAGCAUUAGCUGGCUUUUCAUGUGGCAUUGGUUCUACUCAGCGUGAUAAUGAUCUGACCGCCGAGGACAUCUUUCGAGAUGGCCAAUUCUCAUUUGGGCUGCUGCUAAUCUUGGUCGAGCAGAUUCUGAAUCUGUUCCACUUUUCAACUUUUGACCUCGAAUCAGGUGGGACUACCCGCUGAACUUAAGCAUAUCAAUAAGCGGAGGCU